GGAUUUCACUGGACUAUAUUAAGAUGAGAUAGAACUCUUCAAAUAUUUGAAGAACUGCAAUGUAGCCAAGGAAGGAGUUAGUACAGAAGGCAAAAUCAAAACCAGUGGUUGAAAGAAGAUGUCUCAACCUCUUAUGGAAUCUUUAUGAACAAGUAGAAUUGCCCUGCAGUCGAAAGGCUGCUUUGUGAAGUGUAGAGUUACUCUUCCUUGGAGGUCUUCACGCUAGGUCCUUCAGGCUAAGCAUUGGAUGUUGGAGAAGGGAUUUCUAUACCCUUUUAGCUAUUGGACUAAAUCACCUCUGUGCUUCCUUUCAAUUCUUAAGUGCUAAGACCCCAGGAUUCAAGCCUAGAGGAUGAAAAGGUGAGCCCAGACCUGUUCCUUCUAGUUUUAUUAUUUUGAUAGCCAAAGAAAUAGGUCAUCAGAUUAUUCAUGAGCUAAAGGCUAUUUGGGAUUUUUUUAAGCCAAGAAGACGGUGGGGUAUGAUUUCCCAGUGCAGUAAAUGAGAAAAUAAAGGAGCGAUAUCAGGAAGGAAAAAAGAAAGAGGAGAAAAAAGAAAUGCAUGGAGGGAGGACCAGAGGUUGAAUGAGGGAAAUGAGAUGAUUUUGCAGAGGGCAGAUCUAGUCUAUCAAAGUUUUCACGAGUUCAGCUUUGGAAAGGGUUCCAAACACAAUGUCAAUCCAAGUAAGUGAGCAGUCUUUUAUACUGGGAAAUAGGGCCAGGGAAGCAAAGCUCCUUCCAAUUUAAACACUCUCAAAAGGAUAUGUAAUUGCUUUCUGAUGGGAGGGGCCUCUGCAGGUGGGAAGGCUAUUGUUACCACAGACCAUUUGUCCCCUGAGAGAGAGCCUCUGAGGACUCUGAGGACUGACCAUCCCGCUAAGACUGCUGGCUGCAGAAGAAAAAGACUUUAAGCCGCUUGAGGAGGAUAGAGGUGGAUUUUCAAUCAUAUCCCCAGGGCAGGGGAGAGAGUGUUUGGGGAACAAUAGGACCAGGUUCAUGUAAAGGGGGCCAGCACUGUGUCGACAGAGCCUCAGCCUUAGGGAAACUGCACUUCGGAAAAGGAACUCAGCUAACUGUAUGGCCUGGUGAGUGGGUUAUUUUCUACUCCAGGGAAACAUUACUGUGAAGAAACUGAAAAGAGAGAUGAGUGAAUUCCCUUAGUCUUAAAACUAAGGGAACAUGUGUACUGCCCUUCCUGGAGGACCCUCCUUCCUAGGUAGACUGGGAUGGGGAGGUGGAAGGAAGGUCAAGAUGACCUAGGGGCCCUUUUAGGAACUUGAGAAUCUGAAAGCAGACUGUUCAUCCCUGCAAAGGUCAAAAAAGAAGGGCAAUCCCACUAGCAUGUGUGAGGCUUCUCAAAACACACAUUCUGGCUCAUACCCAAUGCUUGAGGAAGGAUUUGGUCAAAUUGGAAGAUAGGUUUACAAGGCUUAUUUUCGUUGAGUGCUCUGAUUCUUGGUUAUCUCCCUGUUAGAAGCUCCAUCAACUAUUAUACUCCUUUCUUAUCAAGAAUGGCUUCUCCAUCGUACUCCGUAAACUUUCCCCAAGAAACCUCUUCACACUCUUCCUUAAUACUAGCCUCACCAGUGGAAGUUCUAAUAUAGCUAGAGAGUCUGGGCUUGAAUGUUGGACCAAGGAAAGUAGAGCUGAUCCACAGUGCAGAGCAGCUUGUAGAGCCCAGGUGGACCAACUGACGUAUCCUUCCUCUCUUUGGCAUCUUCUUUGGGCACUAAAUUGAAUAUAGAGACCCUAAUGUGCAUGCCCGUGUGUGAUUGUGUUCAUCAGCAUUUCCACUCUGAAAAUACAAAUAGCCUGUUCCAAAAGGUUUCCGUGGCUUAUAGGGCUUCCUGUUCUCAGGGUUUUUUGUGGGUUAAAAAAUGGCAAGGCUAUGGUUGAGAACUAUUAUCUUCACUCAUAAAUCCAGGUCCAAAAAGUCAAAGCAGAGAAGUAAAUAUAUGAGCAGUCUAGACCCAAAUAUGUGCCUACUUAUGGGCAUUCUAGCUCUAUAAAGCAGGUACAGCACUUACAGGCAGGAUUACCCUAAACAUUACAACUCCUCCACUUUGUCAAUGCUUUCAGAAAUGUCCUUUGUCAAGUAUCUGCACAGUGUGAUUUCUUUGGUCCCUGUGGGUUUUGAUAGGCCUCAAAUCACCAGGCGACCAAUGCUGCAGGAAACAAGCUAAUUUUUAGAGAAACCAGGUGUUAGUCAACCCAAUGAAUACUGAGGCUUGAGCCACAAUUCUGCUCUAACAUUGAAGCAAGAGCCUACCCAUUAAUGUUCUGUGUUGACCCAAAUUAACAUGUCUCAAACCUGCCUUAAAAAUAUUUAGUCUUGCUCUUAUGCGUAAGCACAUAUGUAUAUACAAAAUCAGUAUGGAUAAAAGAUAUUGCUACCUUGAUAUUUUCCAGAGCCCAUCUUCUUAAGAGAAGGAAAACAAUUAAGUUACUUUUCUUAUUUCUUCACAUCUCUUAUCUGAUUGUCUCAAGAGGCAAAGGACAGUGGGAAGGUGUGAUUCUCUCUAUUCAGAGUGGUAAGUGAUUUGAACAUGGACACAAUAGCAGGCAAGGACCCAUGUUUUCUAAGAUUCAAUAUAUUGCUGUCUAUAUCAGGCUGCAACUUCUAUAACCAGCAUUCUGAUUUAUCUCCUCAGACCCUCAUUUUUCCCAAUUAAUGCAACUGAAACAUUGGUAACUCUUAUCUCCCAGCUCACAGAAAGCAUAUGAGGAUUAAAAAAACAUUGCUCUGAGAAAGAAUUGAACUGGAGCUUCGCUUGGCUUUUUUGCAGGGACAAGGGGUCAUAGGGAGAGAAGUAUUGUUUUUGUUGCUUAUGUUCCCCUUUUUCAAUGGGGAAGGGAAUAAGAAAAGAAGGGAUAUUUGAAAAGCAAGGUGAUGUGAUCAAUACAUAAAUGUGGAUGAAAUAAAUCAUUAAGGCAUUCAAAUAGGAGCCAAAAGACAAUGUGAAUCCAGCUCAGCCACUCGCCAAGUUCGUGGCCAUGGGAAGAUCACUCAAACUCUCUAAGGCUUAGUUCAUCUAUAACAUGAGAUAAUGAUUCCAGUUCUGCCUAGUUCAAAGGAUUUUGUGAGAUCCAAACAAGAUGAUAUAUGUGAAAUCCCUUUGAAAAGUAUGGGAGGUUGAAUGCUUCAUAAUUUUUAAGAAGUUAGAUUUUAUGAAAAAUUCCAUUGAAGGGUAAGCCUGAGGGGUAAGCAAGUUUAACAGACGUCAGUUAUGGCAAAGAAAGGGUUGAAUUGGCCUAUUAGGUGAACUCUUCCUAUUAUGAGAAAAUAGAACA
rnacentral:lncRNA from 1 species